rnacentral:rRNA from 1 species
UACGGGGGGGGGCAAGCGUUUGUUCGGAAUUACUGGGCGUAAAGGGCUCGUAGGUGGCCAACUAAGUCAGACGUGAAAUCCCUCAGCUUAACUGGGGAACUGCGUCUGAUACUGGAUGGCUUGAGUUUGGGAGAGGGAUGCGGAAUUCCAGGUGUAGCGGUGAAAUGCGUAGAUAUCUGGAGGAACACCGGUGGCGAAGGCGGGUCUCUGGGCCGUAACUGACGCUGAGGAGCGAAAGCAUGGGGGAGCGAACAGG